rnacentral:lncRNA from 12 species
CAUCUAAUUGGAUCAAUUCUUGAUGGAUAAACUCACCAGAACUAAUCUGAAUGCAGAAAUUUACUUUUUCAUUUGUCUAUCUCCACCCACAAAAGGAGAAAGAAAACCAACUGCUGAUGGUUAUUGCUUUCAUCUGUACCAUUUGCACCUUGCAUUUAGUUGUGAAAUACACGUGGAUUUGCUUAGAUGUCUUUGAAUAAUUGUUGCAAGCUAGAGGACUGUGAGUGAGCUUUUACUUCUAGGAGAACCUAAGUUGAUAGUGGUAUUUCAAAGCCAGGAAGAGGGAAAAAACUGUUUUAUCCUCUUGUCUGCCAGGGGAAAAGAAAGACCUUUGAAAGGCACAGGGUCAGUAAGACCCACGAGGUCCCACUGUCAUGGAACUUACCUUCUAGGAAGGAAGGAAGACACAUGAUAAAACAUAAAUAAGGAUUUCAGAUGGUGAUACAUGCUCCAAAGGAAAAAGAAGGUGAUAAAUAGUAGGUGAGGAUUUCUACUUUAUACUGAUUGGCCAGCAAAGGUCUUUCUUUUUUUUUUUUUUUUUUUUUUAAUUUUUAUUUAUUUAUGAUAGUCACAGAGAGAGAGAGGUGCAGAGACACAGGCAGAGGGAGAAGCAGGCUCCAUGCACCGGGAGCCCGACGUGGGAUUCGAUCCCGGGUCUCCAGGAUUGCGCCCUGGGCCAAAGGCAGGCGCCAAACCGCUGCGCCACCCAGGGAUCCCAGCAAAGGUCUUUCUGAGGAGUGGGCAAGGAUGCAGGGAACGCUGCCCUCGCACCCAUCCUGUCUUGGCCUCGCGGAACCGAUAGCAACGUGAAGAUGCUUGAAAGAGAGAAGCAGAUGUGAGAUGCUCCACUUUUAUCCUACCAGUAACAUUUUUAAGAUUAAACUCCUAGUGAAAUUCUUUCACAGAUCCCAAAUUAUGAAUGCUCCGUGUUGCUUUAAUCCGUCCCGUUGCCCCGGCUUUAUUAGAUGGAGCACCCCGUUGAGCAUCUGAGGAACAGUGGGAUUAUCACAUUUCCCUUUGAAAAUCCGGUAAAGACAAAAUAAAUGGUUAACAAAACAGAGGGAAAUCA